rnacentral:rRNA from 1 species
GACGAACGCUGGCGGCGUGCCUCAGACAUGCAAGUCGAACGCGAAAGUUCCCUUCGGGGGGCGAGUAGAGUGGCGCACGGGUGAGUAACACGUAGGUAAUCUACCUUUGGGUGGGGAAUAACAGCCGGAAACGGCUGCUAAUACCGCAUAAUGCAGCGGCUCGACAUCGAGACAGUUGUUAAAGCGGGGGAUCGCAAGACCUCGCGCCUAAAGAGGAGCCUGCGGCGGAUAGCUUGUUGGUGAGGUAAUGGCUCACCAAGGCAUCGAUCCGUAGCCGGCCUGAGAGGGCGGUCGGCCACACUGACACUGACAUACGGGUCAGACUCCUACGGGAGGCAGCAGUCGGGAAUUUUGGGCAAUGGGCGCAAGCCUCGACCCAGCAACGCCGCGUGAAGGAUGAAAUCCCUCGGGAU